AAUAGAUACCCCGGUAGCCCACGCCGUAAACGAUGAGUGCUAAGUGUUAGAGGGUUUCCGCCCUUUAGUGCUGCAGCUAACGCAUUAAGCACUCCGCCUGGGGAGUACGGUCGCAAGACUGAAACUCAAAGGAAUUGACGGGGGCCCGCACAAGCGGUGGAGCAUGUGGUUUAAUUCGAAGCAACGCGAAGAACCUUACCAGGUCUUGACAUCCCACUGACCGGUAUAGAGAUAUACCUUUCCCUUCGGGGACAGUGGUGACAGGUGGUGCAUGGUUGUCGUCAGCUCGUGUCGUGAGAUGUUGGGUUAAGUCCCGCAACGAGCGCAACCCUUGAUCUUAGUUGCCAGCAUUUAGUUGGGCACUCUAAGGUGACUGCCGGUGACAAACCGGAGGAAGGUGGGGAUGACGUCAAAUCAUCAUGCCCCUUAUGACCUGGGCUACACACGUGCUACAAUGGAUGGUACAAAGGGCUGCAAGACUGCGAAGUCAAGCCAAUCCCAUAAAACCAUUCUCAGUUCGGAUUGCAGG
rnacentral:rRNA from 1 species